rnacentral:rRNA from 1 species
UGGGGAAUUUUGGACAAUGGGGGCAACCCUGAUCCAGCAAUGCCGCGUGUGUGAAGAAGGCCUUCGGGUUGUAAAGCACUUUUGUCCGGGAAGAAAUCGCACCUGAUAAUACCGGGUGUGGAUGACGGUACCGGAAGAAUAAGGACCGGCUAACUACGUGCCAGCAGCCGCGGUAAUACGUAGGGUCCAAGCGUUAAUCGGAAUUACUGGGCGUAAAGCGUUCGCAGGCGGUUGUUCAAGACCGAUGUGAAAUCCCCGGGCUUAACCUGGGAAUUGCAUUGGUGACUGCACGGCUAGAGUGUGUCAGAGGGGGGUAGAAUUCCACGUGUAGCAGUGAAAUGCGUAGAGAUGUGGAGGAAUACCGAUGGCGAAGGCAGCCCCCUGGGAUAACACUGACGCUCAUGCACGAAAGCGUGGGGAGCAAACAGG